rnacentral:rRNA from 1 species
UACGUAGGGGGCAAGCGUUGUCCGGAAUCAUUGGGCGUAAAGCGCGUGUAGGCGGCCCAGUAAGUCCGCUCUGAAAGCCCGGGGCUUAACCCCGGGAGGCGGGUGGAUACUGCUGGGCUCGAGUCCGGAAGAGGCGAGUGGAAUUCCCGGUGUAGCGGUGAAAUGCACAGAUAUCGGGAGGAACACCUAUGGCGAAGGCAGCUCGCUGGGACGUUACUGACGCUGAGACGCGAAAGCGUGGGGAGCAAACAGG